AUGCUCGAUUUGGCAGCACAUAUACUAAAAUUGGAACGAUACGGAGAAGAUGAGCAUGGCCCCUGCACAAGGAUGACAUGCAAAUGGAAGCGUUCCAUAUUUUU